rnacentral:tRNA from 1 species
GGGAAUGUGGCUCAGUGGUAGGGUACUUGUCUAGCAUGCAUGAAGCCUGGGUUCAAUUCCUCAGCACCA